rnacentral:rRNA from 1 species
UAGGGAAUCUUCCGCAAUGGACGAAAUUCUGACGGAGCAACGCCGCGUGAGUGAAGAAGGAUUUCGGUUCGUAAAACUCUGUUGUUAGGGAAGAAAAAAUGUAUAGUAACUAUAUACAAAAGAGACGGUACCUAACCAGAAAGCCACGGCUAACUACGUGCCAGCAGCCGCGGUAAUACGUAGGUGGCAAGCGUUGUCCGGAAUUAUUGGGCGUAAAGCGCGCGCAGGUGGUUUAGAAAGUCUGAUGUGAAAGCCCACGGCUCAACCGUGGAGGGUCAUUGGAAACUAAUAAACUUGAGUGCAGGAGAGAAAAGUGGAAUUCCUAGUGUAGCGGUGAAAUGCGUAGAGAUUAGGAGGAACACCGGUGGCGAAGGCGGCUUUUUGGCCUGCAACUGACACUGAGGCGCGAAAGCGUGGGGAGCAAACAGG